rnacentral:rRNA from 1 species
GGGUUGUGAGGUUAAGCGACUAAGCGUACACGGUGGAUGCCCUGGCAGUCAGAGGCGAUGAAGGACGUGCUAAUCUGCGAUAAGCGUCGGUAAGGUGAUAUGAACCGUUAUAACCGGCGAUUUCCGAAUGGGGAAACCCAGUGUGUUUCGACACACUAUCAUUAACUGAAUCCAUAGGUUAAUGAGGCGAACCGGGGGAACUGAAACAUCUAAGUACCCCGAGGAAAAGAAAUCAACCGAGAUUCCCCCAGUAGCGGCGAGCGAACGGGGAGCAGCCCAGAGCCUGAAUCAGUGUGUGUGUUAGUGGAAGCGUCUGGAAAGGCGCGCGAUACAGGGUGACAGCCCCGUACACAAAAAUGCACAUAUUGUGAGCUCGAUGAGUAGGGCGGGACACGUGGUAUCCUGUCUGAAUAUGGGGGGACCAUCCUCCAAGGCUAAAUACUCCUGACUGACCGAUAGUGAACCAGUACCGUGAGGGAAAGGCGAAAAGAACCCCGGCGAGGGGAGUGAAAAAGAACCUGAAACCGUGUACGUACAAGCAGUGGGAGCACGCUUAGGCGUGUGACUGCGUACCUUUUGUAUAAUGGGUCAGCGACUUAUAUUCUGUAGCAAGGUUAACCGAAUAGGGGAGCCGAAGGGAAACCGAGUCUUAACUGGGCGUUAAGUUGCAGGGUAUAGACCCGAAACCCGGUGAUCUAGCCAUGGGCAGGUUGAAGGUUGGGUAACACUAACUGGAGGACCGAACCGACUAAUGUUGAAAAAUUAGCGGAUGACUUGUGGCUGGGGGUGAAAGGCCAAUCAAACCGGGAGAUAGCUGGUUCUCCCCGAAAGCUAUUUAGGUAGCGCCUCGUGAAUUCAUCUCCGGGGGUAGAGCACUGUUUCGGCAAGGGGGUCAUCCCGACUUACCAACCCGAUGCAAACUGCGAAUACCGGAGAAUGUUAUCACGGGAGACACACGGCGGGUGCUAACGUCCGUCGUGAAGAGGGAAACAACCCAGACCGCCAGCUAAGGUCCCAAAGUCAUGGUUAAGUGGGAAACGAUGUGGGAAGGCCCAGACAGCCAGGAUGUUGGCUUAGAAGCAGCCAUCAUUUAAAGAAAGCGUAAUAGCUCACUGGUCGAGUCGGCCUGCGCGGAAGAUGUAACGGGGCUAAACCAUGCACCGAAGCUGCGGCAGCGACGCUGAUGCGUUGUUGGGUAGGGGAGCGUUCUGUAAGCCUGCGAAGGUGUGCUGUGAGGCAUGCUGGAGGUAUCAGAAGUGCGAAUGCUGACAUAAGUAACGAUAAAGCGGGUGAAAAGCCCGCUCGCCGGAAGACCAAGGGUUCCUGUCCAACGUUAAUCGGGGCAGGGUGAGUCGACCCCUAAGGCGAGGCCGAAAGGCGUAGUCGAUGGGAAACAGGUUAAUAUUCCUGUACUUGGUGUUACUGCGAAGGGGGGACGGAGAAGGCUAUGUUGGCCGGGCGACGGUUGUCCCGGUUUAAGCGUGUAGGCUGGUUUUCCAGGCAAAUCCGGAAAAUCAAGGCUGAGGCGUGAUGACGAGGCACUACGGUGCUGAAGCAACAAAUGCCCUGCUUCCAGGAAAAGCCUCUAAGCAUCAGGUAACAUCAAAUCGUACCCCAAACCGACACAGGUGGUCAGGUAGAGAAUACCAAGGCGCUUGAGAGAACUCGGGUGAAGGAACUAGGCAAAAUGGUGCCGUAACUUCGGGAGAAGGCACGCUGAUAUGUAGGUGAAGCGACUUGCUCGUGGAGCUGAAAUCAGUCGAAGAUACCAGCUGGCUGCAACUGUUUAUUAAAAACACAGCACUGUGCAAACACGAAAGUGGACGUAUACGGUGUGACGCCUGCCCGGUGCCGGAAGGUUAAUUGAUGGGGUCAGCGCAAGCGAAGCUCUUGAUCGAAGCCCCGGUAAACGGCGGCCGUAACUAUAACGGUCCUAAGGUAGCGAAAUUCCUUGUCGGGUAAGUUCCGACCUGCACGAAUGGCGUAAUGAUGGCCAGGCUGUCUCCACCCGAGACUCAGUGAAAUUGAACUCGCUGUGAAGAUGCAGUGUACCCGCGGCAAGACGGAAAGACCCCGUGAACCUUUACUAUAGCUUGACACUGAACAUUGAGCCUUGAUGUGUAGGAUAGGUGGGAGGCUUAGAAGUGUGGACGCCAGUCUGCAUGGAGCCGACCUUGAAAUACCACCCUUUAAUGUUUGAUGUUCUAACGUUGACCCGUAAUCCGGGUUGCGGACAGUGUCUGGUGGGUAGUUUGACUGGGGCGGUCUCCUCCUAAAGAGUAACGGAGGAGCACGAAGGUUGGCUAAUCCUGGUCGGACAUCAGGAGGUUAGUGCAAUGGCAUAAGCCAGCUUGACUGCGAGCGUGACGGCGCGAGCAGGUGCGAAAGCAGGUCAUAGUGAUCCGGUGGUUCUGAAUGGAAGGGCCAUCGCUCAACGGAUAAAAGGUACUCCGGGGAUAACAGGCUGAUACCGCCCAAGAGUUCAUAUCGACGGCGGUGUUUGGCACCUCGAUGUCGGCUCAUCACAUCCUGGGGCUGAAGUAGGUCCCAAGGGUAUGGCUGUUCGCCAUUUAAAGUGGUACGCGAGCUGGGUUUAGAACGUCGUGAGACAGUUCGGUCCCUAUCUGCCGUGGGCGCUGGAGAACUGAGGGGGGCUGCUCCUAGUACGAGAGGACCGGAGUGGACGCAUCACUGGUGUUCGGGUUGUCAUGCCAAUGGCACUGCCCGGUAGCUAAAUGCGGAAGAGAUAAGUGCUGAAAGCAUCUAAGCACGAAACUUGCCCCGAGAUGAGUUCUCCCUGACUCCUUGAGAGUCCUGAAGGAACGUUGAAGACGACGACGUUGAUAGGCCGGGUGUGUAAGCGCAGCGAUGCGUUGAGCUAACCGGUACUAAUGAACCGUGAGGCUUAACCUUACAACGCCGAAG